UGGGGAAUAUUGGGCAAUGGGCGAAAGCCUGACCCAGCGACGCCGCGUGAGGGAAGAAGAUCUUCGGAUUGUAAACCUUAGUCAACAGGGACGAAGAAAGUGACGGUACCGCUCAAGGAAGCCACGGCUAACUACGUGCCAGCAGCCGCGGUAAUACGUAGGUGGCGAGCGUUGUCCGGAAUUACUGGGUGUAAAGGGAGUGUAGGCGGGAAUGCAAGUCAGAAGUGAAAACUAUGGGCUUAACCCAUAGCCUGCUUUUGAAACUGUAUUUCUUGAGUGAAGCAGAGGCAAGCGGAAUUCCUAGUGUAGCGGUGAAAUGCGUAGAUAUUAGGAGGAACACCAGUGGCGAAGGCGGCUUGCUGGGCUUUACUGACGCUGAGGCUCGAAAGCGUGGGGAGCAAACAGGAUUAGAUACCCUGGUAGU
rnacentral:rRNA from 1 species